CAAAAAGCUUAGGGAAAGAAUUUUCACAAGUUAAAAAACAUAAGGUUAAGGAGAAGAAGAAAGAUAUGGAGCUAGAGAUUUUUAGAGAAGCAAUCUAAAGAAUAUUGUAGCUAAUAAAAGGAAAAAAAAAGAGCUGGCUCCUCAAAAAGUUAAAUGCGAUCUAAGCCACCAUCUACAGACCUUUCAAAAAAAUCCACUGUAGAGUAGAUGGAGCACCAUGGACCUUUAAGAUGUGAAUCUUCCCGAAGUGGGGAAGUAGACUUCGUGGGCACAAAUGAAUUCACAAGCCUGGACCAUUAAACCUCCCUUCCCUGAAAUACACCACAUCUCAAACUGGAUGAUUGCAGGAGUAGGGUAUUUCUCAUUUGCAAGUGUUCCAUUUUAUCAUUUGUGAUUUUUUGUAGGUUAUUCAUGUUGUUUACGUAUCUCCCUUUCAAACAUAGCAGCCACCGCUAAAUUUUGAUUCAGUAACCUUUUGUGAUUUUGGUGUAACGAUUUCUAUAAGAAUAUUGAAUACAGGAAAGAAAAAUGGCAUCCAAGGUUACUAGACCCGCAAAAAAAAAAAAUCAUGCCACCACCUAUAAGACCC